CUUAACUGAAUAGAGUUUAAUUAAUACCAACAUUCACGGAAUCCUUUGUCUCCCGAAACAGUGCCAUAUAGUCGAAGGACCACGAGCAUUGGAAUCUACAGACAUGCGUUCAAGCCCAAACCUGGCCUGUUCAUUUCGUGGCCCAGGACAAGUUAUAAGCUAAGGAUUACUGUGAAUGUGGAAUCAAAUUACAUACCACACUGCGAGCAAGGAGUGCCGUGCCACGCAGGGGUGCUCCCGCAUAGGGGAGCCCCACGCACAAGGAGUGCGCCCCGUAAGGAGAGCCGCCCAGCACAAAAGAAAGUGCAGCCUGCCCAGGAAUGGUGCCGUACACAUGGAGAGCUGACACAGCAAGAUGACGCAACAAAAAGAAAUACAGAUUCCUGUGCCGCUGAUAACAACAGAAGCAGACAAAGAAGAACACGCAGCAAAUGGACACAGAGAACAGACAACUUGGGUGGGGGGGAAGGGGAGAGAAAUAAACAAAAUAAAUCUUUUUUUAAAAAAUUACAUACCACACUAAAGCACCUAGCAGGUAUAUAGUAGGCAUAUAGUAACAUUCAGCAAAUGUUACAGUCCUUCCUCACAUUUCCAUCUUAACAUUCCCAUUUUUACAUGAGUAUGAUUAUCCUUUUUCUUGACCACCUAAAAAGCAUGUACCAAGAGACG
rnacentral:lncRNA from 1 species